rnacentral:rRNA from 1 species
AACGAACGCUGGCGGCGUGCCUAACACAUGCAAGUCGAGCGCGAAAAGGGCAACCUGAGUAGAGCGGCGCACGGGUGCGUAACACGUGGGUAAUCUGCCCUCGAGUCCGGGAUAACCUUCCGAAAGGUUGGCUAAUAACGGGUAAGCUCACGGAGGCUUUGGUCUCUGGGCGAAAAGUGGACCUCUGUUAACAAGUCAACGUUUGAUGCUGACGACGCGGCCGAUCAGCUAGUUGGCGGGGUAACGGCCCACCAAGGCAACGACGGGUAGCUGGUCUGAGAGGACGAUCAGCCACACUGGAACUGAGACACGGUCCAGACUCCUACGGGAGGCAGCAGUGGGGAAUUUUCCACAAUGGGCGAAAGCCUGAUGGAGCAACGCCGCGUGUGUGAUGAAGGUCUUCGGAUCGUAAAGCACUUUCGAUCGGGACGAAAAACCUCUGUCUAACAAAUAGGGGCCUGACGGUACCGGGAGAAGAAGCACCGGCUAACUCUGUGCCAGCCGCCGCUGUAACAC